AACGAACGCUGGCGGCAGGCUUAACACAUGCAAGUCGAGCGCCCCGCAAGGGGAGCGGCAGACGGGUGAGUAACGCGUGGGAACGUACCCUUUUCUACGGAAUAACCCAGGGAAACUUGG
rnacentral:rRNA from 1 species